UUAGACUUAGGGGCCAAGCCUUUAUGAGCAAAGGGGCGUAAAGGGUGUGUAGGCCGACUGCCCCCACCCCCCCCAAGGUGGUAAAUGGAAUUUUUCUGUAGCGGUAGAAUGUGCGGAUAGAAAAUAGAACCCCAAAAGCAGAAGCAAUUUACCGCGGGGCGGGAGGGGGGUGGCCCUUGAGGCGCCCCCCCGGGCCACGGGCUGAAACACGAGGGUGUGGGGAACAAACAGGAUUAGAGACCCUGGUAGUCCACACUGUAAACGAUGGAGAAAAUGCGAAUGCAGCCCCGAAAGGCAGCAAUCUCCCGCCUGAGUAGUACGAUCGCAAGAUUAAAAUUCCAAAAAUUUGGCUGUUCACCGUUUCGAUUAGAGGAGCGUGUAGUUUAAUUCGAUAAACCGCGAGAUACCUUACCCAAACUUGAAUCGCCCCACCCGCGACCCUUGUGGUCCCGGGGGUGGUGACCGGUAUUGCAUGGCCGUCGUCAGUUCGUGUAUGAAACCUUAAACGGACCCAACCCGAGGAUUAGCCGCGGAUGAAGUCAGGUCUUAUGGUCCCAAUGUUUGGGGAUAAUAUGCGCUACAUUUUCUUAUACAAUGGGAAACCUGGGAGGUGAAACCCAAAAGUGAGAGUUCGGUAGGCUAUUGGAAGAUGGCCGAAAGUUGAAUUUAAUAGUAAUCGGAAAGUAUAGCGUUCCGGUGAAAAUGGUCUAGGUGUU
rnacentral:rRNA from 1 species